AGUGAACGCUGGCGGUAGGCCUAACACAUGCAAGUCGAACGGCAGCACAGUAAGAGCUUGCUCUUACGGGUGGCGAGUGGCGGACGGGUGAGGAAUACAUCGGAAUCUACUUUUUCGUGGGGGAUAACGUAGGGAAACUUACGCUAAUACCGCAUACGACCUACGGGUGAAAGCAGGGGAUCUUCGGACCUUGCGCGAUUGAAUGAGCCGAUGUCGGAUUAGCUAGUUGGCGGGGUAAAGGCCCACCAAGGCGACGAUCCGUAGCUGGUCUGAGAGGAUGAUCAGCCACACUGGAACGUGGACACGGUCCAGACUCCUACGGGAGGCAGCAGUGGGGAAUAUUGGGCAAUGGGCGCAAGCCUGAUCCAGCCAUACCGCGUGGGUGAAGAAGGCCUUCGGGUUGUAAAGCCCUUUUGUUGGGAAAGAAAAGCAGCAGGUUAAUACCCCGCUGUUCUGACGGUACCCAAAGAAUAAGCACCGGCUAACUUCGUG
rnacentral:rRNA from 1 species